GACGAACGCUGGCGGCGUGCUUAACACAUGCAAGUCGAACGGAAAGGCCCUGCUUGCAGGGUACUCGAGUGGCGAACGGGUGAGUAACACGUGGGUGAUCUGCCCUGCACUUCGGGAUAAGCCUGGGAAACUGGGUCUAAUACCGGAUAGGAGCCAUUUUUAGUGUGAUGGUUGGAAAGUUUUGUCGGUGUAGGAUGAGCUCGCGGCCUAUCAGCUUGUUGGUGGGGUAAUGGCCUACCAAGGCGGCGACGGGUAGCCGGCCUGAGAGGGUGGACGGCCACAUUGGGACUGAGAUGCGGCCCAGACUGCUACGGGAGGCAGCAGUGGGGAAUAUUGCACAAUGGGCGCAAGCCUGAUGCAGCGACGCCGCGUGGGGGAUGACGGCCUUCGGGUUGUAAACUCCUUUCGCUAGGGACGAAGCUUUUUGUGACGGUACCUAGAUAAGAAGCACCGGCUAACUACGUG
rnacentral:rRNA from 1 species